UACGGAGGGGGCUAGCGUUGUUCGGAAUUACUGGGCGUAAAGCGCACGUAGGCGGAUCAGCCAGUCAGGGGUGAAAUCCCGGGGCUCAACCCCGGAACUGCCCUUGAUACUGCUGGUCUGGAGUUCGAGAGAGGCGAGUGGAAUUCCGAGUGUAGAGGUGAAAUUCGUAGAUAUUCGGAGGAACACCAGUGGCGAAGGCGGCUCCUGGCUCGACACUGACGCUGAGGUGCGAAAGCGUGGGGAGCAAACAGGAUUAGAUACCCCGGUAGU
rnacentral:rRNA from 1 species